GUCAAAUCAGGAGACUUUCUUCCGAGCAAACAGGAUACUGCAAGUGAAAGAAACGUUUCUAAAAAGCAUUGUCUGUGGCGGUUUAGUUGGAUCAAUUGCAAGCCCAAGUGUUGUAUCAUGUGCUGCUGCUGCAACCAAAUGUAGGAAAGGGAACAUUGUAGCUUUGGGAUUGGCAUUUCUGAUUGGUGGACUUCUGAUCAUUGUUCAUAAUGCACCUCAAAUGAAAGAAAUGUAGAAGCAGAUUGAUACAAAGAACUACUGGGCGAGCGAGAAAAUUUGUUACUCCAUUCAACAAUUGCUGUGUUAUCUUUCUUAGUUUUCGGCUAUAUCCCUCCUGUAACAUAUGGCUUGUCAUUUUGGAGGAGUGACAAUAGGGACCUAAAGCUCGUAGCAGUUGCAGCAGCUUCUCUUCUGUGCAUCGCUAUACUAGCAUUUGGAAAGGCUCGCAUGCGAAGGCCUCCCAAGUUCUACAGGCAUUUCAAGUCUCUACUGUACUAUGUCAGUAAUGGCAUUUUAUUUCUUUAUAGGUUGUAUAUAUGUUUCUUUUCACUUAAUUUGUUCUUCCUUGGUCUUGUAAGUUUGGAGGUAGUGCAUUGAUGUCAUGGGAUCAAAUGUUUGGUCAUAAUAGUUAUUUG